rnacentral:rRNA from 1 species
AUUGAACGCUGGCGGCAUGCCUUACACAUGCAAGUCGAACGGCAGCGGACCUUCGGGUGCCGGCGAGUGGCGAACGGGUGAGUAAUAUAUCGGAACGUACCUUUCAGUGGGGGAUAACGUAGCGAAAGUUACGCUAAUACCGCAUAUUCUGUGAGCAGGAAAGCAGGGGAUCGCAAGACCUUGCGCCGAUUGAGCGGCCGAUAUCAGAUUAGCUAGUUGGUGAGGUAAAGGCUCACCAAGGCGACGAUCUGUAGCGGGUCUGAGAGGAUGAUCCGCCACACUGGAACUGAGACACGGUCCAGACUCCUACGGGAGGCAGCAGUGGGGAAUUUUGGACAAUGGGCGCAAGCCUGAUCCAGCCAUGCCGCGUGAGUGAAGAAGGCCU